rnacentral:misc_RNA from 1 species
UUAAGUUCAGCGGGUAGUCCUACCUGAUUUGAGGUCACAUUAAUGAAAAAUUGUCCAAGUCAAUGGACUAUUAGAAGCUGAACCUGUUUUGCGUCAAAAGCGUAGAUAGUUAUCACACCAAUGAACGGGGUCAACAAAUUGUUCUGCUAAUGCAUUUUAGGGGAGCCGACCUCAAAAGAGACCAGCAAAAAGACCCCCAC